rnacentral:rRNA from 1 species
UGGGGAAUAUUGCACAAUGGGCGAAAGCCUGAUGCAGCAACGCCGCGUGAGUGAUGACGGCCUUCGGGUUGUAAAGCUCUGUCAUUAGGGACGAAACAAGACGGUACCUAAUGAGGAAGCCACGGCUAACUACGUGCCAGCAGCCGCGGUAAUACGUAGGUGGCAAGCGUUGUCCGGAUUUACUGGGCGUAAAGGAUGCGUAGGCGGAAUAGUAAGUCAGAUGUGAAAUACCCGGGCUCAACCUGGGGGGUGCAUUUGAAACUGCUAAUCUAGAGUGUCGGAGAGGAAAGGGGAAUUCCUAGUGUAGCGGUGAAAUGCGUAGAGAUUAGGAAGAACAUCAGUGGCGAAGGCGCCUUUCUGGACGAUAACUGACGCUGAGGCAUGAAAGCGUGGGGAGCAA